AUAACCAUCCUGUUUUUUAAACAUUUAGUUUGUUCUGUUGGUCGGAGGUUUGAAGAUCAUUGUUACAAAAUAGAAAAGGACGGACAUACUUAUCAAGAUGCGGCAAAUAUUUGCAAAGCUAACGGUGGAAUACUUGCAGCCGUGAAGACACAAAGUCAGCAGGACUUUAUCAGGGACUUAGUAAGUGGAGAAGGCAACAGGUGGACUUUGUUCUGGAUUGGAAUCGACGAUCUUGCAAGAGAAGGACAGUUUGUUUACAGUGACGGCACGCCCCUCGCAAUAAACGAUGCAGUAUUUGGUGCAUGGGCUCCUGGUGAACCGAAUGAUGCACUUGGAGACGAAGAUUGUGUGAAUAUUGAAUACGCGUCAAAGAAUCGACUUUGGAAUGAUGUGCCUUGUAACAGAGACUUAUGGUUUAUAUGCCAGUACCCUGCCUCGCUUUAAAGAACUUUGAAGAUGUUUUUAUGUGUCAUUGGUAUUGAACGCUAACUUUGGUUUACAGGUUUCAGUUUUUACCCUUUCUACUCUUUAAUGAGGGUGAUGUCUCCAGUGAGGCGCGCAUAAGGAUUCAAGAUAGAAGUCUUAUUUUUAAUUAGAUAUUACCCUGCUUGUAUCUUCAACCAGUAUUAAUUUCAUGGGGUGAUAGUUCUACAACAGCAACUGACUAUUAGUUUGUUACAUCCAUUCCAAAUACUUCCAAAUAUAGUAAUUUUGCUGCUCGAACAGCAAUGUAUUUCACUAAAGAUGUACCACAACACACAAUCUGUGGUAACAAAAACCUACCAUGAUCUAUUCUCUAUGAGUGAGACAUGGUUUUAAUCUAUUUGGACGAGGCCAUACGGCGAGGCACACCAUGUGCCAUGGAUUUAGGCCAGAAUUGGCUCAUUACCCCAACACCUAUAUAUGUUAUGUAAAUGUAUAAUUGCCAAAUCCGAAUCAAAGUUUGAAAAUCACUCACUUACUCCUGCCUUGUUGAUCACUGUACAUAUAUGAUUGUAUUUUGUAAAUUAAUGUUCAUGCCUUGCAGUAGAAUCGGUGUUUCGUAUAAUCAGCAUAACAUCUCAUUUUUAAACCUCAAAUGUUAUGUCAGUAUUAAUUACACUACCUGAAGUCAAAUCUGCUACACGGAAUACAGUGCAUUGUAUGGAUACCUUA